rnacentral:lncRNA from 1 species
GUCAGCUCAAGGGUUAAGCGGCGGCGAAGRGCUGCCUGCGACUCCGCGGCUCUUCCAUCUGCUGGGAACCCUGAAAACCAUUUGUAAAUUAAUUUUUUACUUUGAAUGCAUGCUGCCGCAUACAGUCGUCGCUGGAUUCUGCACAGACAGCUUGCACUGCUGCUUCAACAUGUCUCCAGCGACGCGCUCGGCUCCCACUGAUUUUGAAUGCAGGAGAAUAAAAUCAUUAAGUGAAAGCAGCUAUACUAGCGGAGGCUGCCCGGCGCACAAAGCCCCGCACAUGUGGCUCCGUGUCGGAGUCAGGAUCAAUUACCGGAUUGACUUUGCGGCGCUCGCGCCGCUGCCGUUGAGGGUCUGUCAACAUUUCCAUUACAAAUGCAAGCACCGCUUUUAAGGGAUUUAUUGCUCAGCCAUAACGUCGCGUUGGCGCUCGGCAUCCCGGAUCCGCGGCCGCUGGGCGCUCGGCAAAGCCCCCGGCCGCUUCSGAGGCGCUCGGCCUGGGAGGGGCUUCAUGCACGUGGAUUUUGUUGAAUUGAUUCCUGGAACUGAGUCUUUGCAGUCGAUGGGAAAAAGCAGAGUGACUAAAUCCCGGCUGCGACCGCCGGUCCUCCGCCACCCCCAGCGCUGAGAUUCGGGGCUCAGGCCCUGAAAAGAGCCCGAGCGAUACCUUCCAAAUGAGCAAUUUGUACUUUUAACCAGGAACUGACCUUUUGGUUUCACACGCGCGCGCCUUGUGCUAGCCCUGGAUUACGGCGCAGAGCCGAGCAUUUAACUGACACGGCAAAAAACGUUAAGCCUGCUUGUAGGAUGCAGAAAAAACCUCCCAGGAUAAAAACCGCCAGAAAUGCUUCCUAUUUAUUUUCAUCAGCAGCUAGGUAAAUACAAUGUAAUGGGAAUAUUUAAAGACCCGUAAUCUUAUUUACAUUCUGAGCAUGAAUGCGGCUCCCAGUACAUUGCAGACAUCUGUCAGACAAACAGACAAGACUCUGCAAAGAUAUUUAAAAUGCUCUUCUCUUAAACGGCAAGGAAGCUGUUUGGGGAUUUUGGCAGGAUAGCUGGGUAUGACACGUCUUUUUCUUCUUUUUUUUCCCUAGCAAACGAUUUCCUCAGCUUCUUACAAGCAGGCUUAAGAAAUUCUGUCUGAUAGGGUAUUUACUAAGAAAACUGAAGUGAUAACUCGCGGGCCGAUCUAAUUUGCCAGGCGUUUCAACUUAGAGACUUCCCGCCUGCCCGUGCCUCUUUCAGGUGUAUUUUAAAGAUUUUUCUCCCUCCUCUCAUUUCAACGUGAAAACAGCGUAACACAGGUUAGUCAGGUCUUAUAACACGAAACAAAGUGAAGUAUUUCUGUUUAAUCUAACGUGUCCAAAGGGCAAAUGGAGGGAUGAUCAAGAGCA